rnacentral:rRNA from 1 species
GAUGAACGCUGACAGAAUGCUUAACACAUGCAAGUCUACUGUGGCGGACGGGUGAGUAACGCGUAAAGAACUUGCCUCACAGAUAGGGACAACCUUUGGAAACGAAUGCUAAUACCUGAUACUGUGAGAGAGCUUUGCGUCCCAUUAGCUAGUUGGAGAGGUAACGGCUCACCAAGGCGAUGCUGGGUAGCCGGCCUGAGAGGGUGAUCGGCCACAAGGGGACGGAUACACGGCCCUUACUCCUACGUGAGGCAGCAGUGGGAAUAUUGGACAAUAGACCAAAGUCUGAUCCAGCAAUUCUGUGUGCACUAUGAAGUUUUCGGAAUGUAAAGUGCUUUCAGUUGGGAAGCAGUACCAACAGAAGAAGGGACGGCUAAAUACGUGCCAGCAGCCGCGGUAAUAC